rnacentral:tRNA from 1 species
UGUAGCUCAGUGGCAGAGCGCUUGUCUAGCACACAUGAGGCCCUGGGUUCCAUCCUCAGCA